AAUUGAAUUAAACAAACUGCAAAAUAGAUUCAAAAUUUUGUCCUGAGUUUAAAAACACCCAAUGUUUACGUGUUUUUUUGCUUUUAUUUGCAAGUUAUAGGGCUAUAAGUACAAGUAGGAAAUUGCUGUUUCAAAAUUUACAUUUUUCAAAUGUAUCAAUAGUGACAUUGUAACACUUAUGUCAUAAAUCUCCAAAAAACAACCCACAUGUAUAUAUUUUUCUUAAACUAGAUAACCCAG